rnacentral:ncRNA from 2 species
UACUUGGUGAUCAGCCACCAGCACACUUAGGUCAUAGAUUAGCCAUGCAAGUGUUAGUUCAGGUAACGAAACUGCGAAUAGCUCAUUAAUACGCUCAGAAUCUAUUUGCCGGCGACCAACAGGUCUUAAAUGGAUAGCAGCAGCAACUCUGGUGCUAAUACAUGCGAUUGUUUCUCCAGAUGUGAAUUAUGGAGGAAAAGUUGACCUCAUCAGAGGCACGCCAUUCGACUGAGUGACCUAUCAGCUUGUACUUAGGGUCUUUACCUAGGUAGGCUAUCACGGGUAACGGGCGGUUACCGUCGGACUGCCGGAGAAGGCGCCUGAGAGAUAGCGACUAUAUCCACGGGUAGCAGCAGGCGCGAAACUUUCCCACUCGAGACUUUCGGAGGAGGUAAUGACCAGUUCCAUUGGUGCCUUUUGGUACUGUGGAUAGGGGUACGGUUUUCCACCGUACCGAAACCUAGCAGAGGGCCAGUCUGGUGCCAGCAGCUGCGGUAAUUCCAGCUCUGCGAGUUUGCUCCCAUAUUGUUGCAGUUAAAACGCCCGUAGUCUGAAUUGGCCAGCAAUGGUCGUACGUAUUUUUACGUUCACUGUGAACAAAUCAGGACGCUUAGAGUAUGGCCACAUGAAUGACUCAGCGCAGUAUGAAGUCUUUGUUUUCUUCCGAAAACAAGCUCAAUGAGAGCCAUCGGGGGUAGAUCUAUCUCAUGACGAGUGGUGGAAUACUUUGACUCAUGAGAGAGAAGCUGAGGCGAAGGCGUCUACCUAGAGGGUUUCUGUCGAUCAAGGGCGAGAGUAGGAGUAUCCAACAGGAUUAGAGACCCUGGUAGUUCCUACCUUAAACGAUGCCGACAGGAGUUUGUCAUUUGUUAAUGGCAGAAUCUUUGGAGAAAUCAUAGUUCUUGGGCUCUGGGGGAACUACGACCGCAAGGCUGAAACUUGAAGGAAUUGACGGAAGGGCACACCAGGGGUGGAGCCUGUGGCUUAAUUUGAAUCAACACGGGGAAACUUACCAGGACCAGAUGUUUUUUAUGACUGACAGGCUUCGGG